CAAGUCGAACGAGAAGCUCCCUUCGGGGAGUGGAGAGUGGCGCACGGGUGAGUAACACGUGAGCAACCUGCCGGGAAGCCCGGGAUAGCCCUCCGAAAGGAGGAUAAUACCAGAUGUGGCCACCCUGCGAUUGCAGGGGAAGCUAAAGGAUUUAUUCACUUCCCGAGGGGCUCGCGGCCCAUCAGCUUGUUGGUGAGGGUAAACGGCCCACCAAGGCGACAAACGGGUAGCUGGUCUGAGAGGAUGGUCAGCCACACUGGAACUGAGACACGGUCCAGACACCUACGGGUGGCAGCAGUCGAGAAUCAUUCGCAAUGGGGGAAACCCUGACGAUGCGACGCCGCGUGGAGGAUGAAGGCCUUAGGGUUGUAAACUCCUGUCAAGAGGGAAUAAGCAAGUGAAGGUACCUCUAGAGGAAGGGGCGGCUAAUUCCGUGCCAGCAGCCGCGGUAACACGGAAGCCCCGAGCGUUGUUCGGAUUCAUUAGGCGUAAAGGGUGCGUAGGCGGCGCGGAAAGUCCGGCGUGAAAGGCAGGGGCUCAACCUCUGGACUGCGUUGGAUACUUCCGUGCUUGAGGACUGGAGGGGAGACUGGAAUUCACGGUGUAGCAGUGAAAUGCGUAGAUAUCGUGAGGAAGACCGGUGGCGGAGGCGAGUCUCUGGACAGAUCCUGACGCUGAGGCACGAAGGCUGGGGGAGCGAACAGGAUUAGAUACCCUGGUAGUCCCAGCAGUAAACGAUGUGAGCUUGAUGUGGGGGGAUUCGACCCCUUCCGUGUCGAAGCUAACGCGAUAAGCUCACCGCCUGAGGAGUACGUCCGCAAGGCUAAAACUCAAAGUAAUUGACGGGGACCCGCACAAUCGGUGGAGUAUGUGGCUUAAUUCGAUGCAACGCGUAGAACCUUACCUGGCCUUGACAUGCAUUGUGUCGUCUGUGAAAGCCGGCUAGUCCUGGAAACAGGACGCUUUGCACAGGUGCUGCAUGGCUGUCGUCAGCUCGUGUCGUGAGAUGUUGGGUUAAGUCCCGCAACGAGCGCAACCCUUGUGGUCAGUUACUAACCGGCUUAGCCGGAGGACUCUGGCCAGACUGCCCUGUCAAACGGGGAGGAAGGUGGGGACGACGUCAAGUCAGUAUGGCCCUUAUGGCCAGGGCUGCACACGUACUA
rnacentral:rRNA from 1 species